GAUGAACGCUGGCGGCGUGCCUAAUACAUGCAAGUCGAGCGAACAGAUAAGGAGCUUGCUCCUUUGACGUUAGCGGCGAACGGGUGAGUAACACGUGGGUAACCUACCUAUAAGACUGGGAUAACUUCGGGAAACCGGAGCUAAUACCGGAUAAUAUUUCGAACCGCAUGGUUCGAUAGUGGAAGAUGGUUUUGCUAUCACUUAUAGAUGGACCCGCGCCGUAUUAGCUAGUUGGUAAGGUAACGGCUUACCAAGGCGACGAUACGUAGCCGACCUGAGAGGGUGAUCGGCCACACUGGAACUGAGACACGGUCCAGACUCCUACGGGAGGCAGCAGUAGGGAAUCUUCCGCAAUGGGCGAAAGCCUGACGGAGCAACGCCGCGUGAGUGAUGAAGGUCUUCGGAUCGUAAAACUCUGUUAUUAGGGAAGAACAUACGUGUAAGUAACUGUGCACGUCUUGACGGUACCUAAUCAGAAAGCCACGGCUAACUACGUGCCAGCAGCCGCGGUAAUACGUAGGUGGCAAGCGUUAUCCGGAAUUAUUGGGCGUAAAGCGCGCGUAGGCGGUUUUUUAAGUCUGAUGUGAAAGCCCACGGCUCAACCGUGGAGGGUCAUUGGAAACUGGAAAACUUGAGUGCAGAAGAGGAAAGUGGAAUUCCAUGUGUAGCGGUGAAAUGCGCAGAGAUAUGGAGGAACACCAGUGGCGAAGGCGACUUUCUGGUCUGUAACUGACGCUGAUGUGCGAAAGCGUGGGGAUCAAACAGGAUUAGAUACCCUGGUAGUCCACGCCGUAAACGAUGAGUGCUAAGUGUUAGGGGGUUUCCGCCCCUUAGUGCUGCAGCUAACGCAUUAAGCACUCCGCCUGGGGAGUACGACCGCAAGGUUGAAACUCAAAGGAAUUGACGGGGACCCGCACAAGCGGUGGAGCAUGUGGUUUAAUUCGAAGCAACGCGAAGAACCUUACCAAAUCUUGACAUCCUUUGACAACUCUAGAGAUAGAGUUUUCCCCUUCGGGGGACAAAGUGACAGGUGGUGCAUGGUUGUCGUCAGCUCGUGUCGUGAGAUGUUGGGUUAAGUCCCGCAACGAGCGCAACCCUUAAGCUUAGUUGCCAUCAUUAAGUUGGGCACUCUAAGUUGACUGCCGGUGACAAACCGGAGGAAGGUGGGGAUGACGUCAAAUCAUCAUGCCCCUUAUGAUUUGGGCUACACACGUGCUACAAUGGACAAUACAAAGGGCAGCGAAACCGCGAGGUCAAGCAAAUCCCAUAAAGUUGUUCUCAGUUCGGAUUGUAGUCUGCAACUCGACUACAUGAAGCUGGAAUCGCUAGUAAUCGUAGAUCAGCAUGCUACGGUGAAUACGUUCCCGGGUCU
rnacentral:rRNA from 1 species